rnacentral:rRNA from 1 species
UGGGGAAUAUUGGACAAUGGGCGAAAGCCUGAUCCAGCAAUACCGCGUGAAUGAUGAAGGCCUUAGGGUUGUAAAGUUCUUUUAGCAGGGAAGAUAAUGACGGUACCUGCAGAAAAAGCCCCGGCUAACUCCGUGCCAGCAGCCGCGGUAAGACGGAGGGGGCUAGCGUUGUUCGGAAUUACUGGGCGUAAAGAGCGCGUAGGCGGCUUAGUAAGUUGGAAGUGAAAGCCCGGGGCUUAACCUCGGAACUGCUUUCAAAACUGCUAGGCUAGAGUAUAGUAGAGGGUGAUGGAAUUCCUAGUGUAGAGGUGAAAUUCUUAGAUAUUAGGAGGAACACCAGAAGCGAAAGCGAUCACCUGGGCUAUAACUGACGCUGAUGCGCGAAAGCGUGGGGAGCAAA